rnacentral:rRNA from 1 species
UACGGGGGGAGCAAGCGUUGUUCGGAUUUACUGGGCGUAAAGGGCGCGUAGGCGGCGCAACAAGUCACUUGUGAAAUCUCCGGGCUUAACCCGGAGCGGCCAAGUGAUACUGUCGUGCUAGAGUGCGGAAGGGGCUACUGGAAUUCUCGGUGUAGCGGUGAAAUGCGUAGAUAUCGAGAGGAACACCUGCGGCGAAGGCGGGUAGCUGGGCCGACACUGACGCUGAGGCGCGAAAGCCGGGGGAGCGAACGGG